AAGAUAGGGCAGCUUGACUUCACUUUCAAGUUAUUUAAUUUUCAGUUUUGAAAGACUUUUUAGCAGUAUGUGAUGUGGAUAUGCUCAACCCAUCUCAGCCAUAUUCCAUCCAAGGACAUGGAGUCAAGGAUGAUGUGGUUUUCAAUAAAGGAGAAUAAACAGUUAAUCAACAAGUCAUUUGUUAAGCACCCUCUGCAUUUAAUAUUGUGCUCAUGGCAUCAAGGGAUGCAAAAGAAAUGGAAGACCUAUUUUCUGCCUUAAGACAACCAUAAUGUAGUUUGAAAUAGUGAAGCAGUCCAUACACAGGAAACAACUGUUACUUCUUGAGUUAUUCUUGUGCUAUUCUUCUCCUCUUCAACCUUCAUCUAGGACAUGGACCCUAUAAUAUGUGACUGAACAAUUAGACUACAAAGCAGGAUUGGUAAUUUCAAUAAAGAAGACUAGCUUCAUGGUGUUUCAACAGUCUUGAGAAAAAUAAGUAGAGUUUAUUGGCUGGAGAAAGAAAGAAAUAAAGAAAGAAUGGCAUACUACUUGCUGAUAAAGGCUUGAAGGUGUUAUUGUUUAGAAGUUCCAAUAAGUAGUUAAGAUGUUACUGUGGAAGGUGAGUCUGACAAGGCUAAAUAAGAUUAGAACACAUUUAAUGUUAGCUAAGGCUAACAUUUAAAGGAUGGAGGAAGAAGAGCAGUUAUGGAGAAUGAGGAAGAGUGAAGACAAGUAGAAAAAGAGACUAGAGGAUCAUUUAGUGCCAUGAAGUCUAUGAACCAGGAGUUUCAGAAAGGAGGAGAUGCUCAACAGUAAUAAAUGCACCAGAAAAGUCAGGGAGGAUGUGUGAGGGAAAAGGCUAGUAGAUUUACUCAGAGAGUUAGUAAUGAGAUCAUAGAGUGAAAAAUAGUGGCAGUGCAAGCUAAAAUCAGAGGAUUAUUGAAAAAAUGAAAAUAGAAAAGUAGAGGCAGCAUGGGUGGGUUUCUUGUUGGCUGAUUUAUUCAUGCCUGUGCUCAUAUA